AGUGGGUGUAGCGUACCUACUAGCCUACGACGGGUACGGGUUGUGAGAGCAAGAGCCCGGAGAUGGAUUCUGAGACACGAAUCCAGGCCCUACGGGGUGCAGCAGGCGCGAAAACUUUACAAUGCGGGUCACCGCGAUAAGGGAACCUCGAGUGCCAGCAUACAAUGUUGGCUGUCCAGGUGCCUAAAAAGCAUCUGUUAGCAAGGGCCGGGCAAGACCGGUGCCAGCCGCCGCGGUAACACCGGCGGCUCGAGUGGUAACCGCUAUUAUUGGGUCUAAAGGGUCUGUAGCCGGCCGGAUAAGUCCCUUGGGAAAUCUGGCAGCUUAACUGUCAGGCUUUCAGGGGAUACUGUUCGGCUUGGGACCGGGAGAGGUGAGAGGUACCUCAGGGGUAGGGGUGAAAUCUUGUAAUCCUUGAGGGACCACCAGUGGCGAAGGCGUCUCACCAGAACGGAUCCGACGGCAAGGGACGAAAGCUAGGGGCACGAACCGGAUUAGAU
rnacentral:rRNA from 1 species